rnacentral:rRNA from 1 species
GUGUCGUGAGAUGUUGGGUUAAGUCCCGCAACGAGCGCAACCCCUAUCCUUUGUUGCCAGCACGCAAUGGUGGGAACUCAAAGGAGACUGCCGCGGACAACGCGGAGGAAGGCGGGGAUGACGUCAAGUCAUCAUGCCCCUUAUGUCCUGGGCUACACACGUACUACAAUGGGAUGGACAGAGAGCAGCGAAGCCGCGAGGCCAAGCGAACCCCAUAAAACCAUCUCCCAGUUCGGAUUGCAGGCUGCAACCCGCCUGCA